AAUAGAUACCCCGGUAGUCCACGCCGUAAACGAUGAGUGCUAAGUGUUAGAGGGUUUCCGCCCUUUAGUGCUGCGGCUAACGCAUUAAGCACUCCGCCUGGGGAGUACGGCCGCAAGGCUGAAACUCAAAGGAAUUGACGGGGGCCCGCACAAGCGGUGGAGCAUGUGGUUUAAUUCGAAGCAACGCGAAGAACCUUACCAGGUCUUGACAUCCUCUGACAACCCUAGAGAUAGGGCUUUCCCCUUCGGGGGACAGAGUGACAGGUGGUGCAUGGUUGUCGUCAGCUCGUGUCGUGAGAUGUUGGGUUAAGUCCCGCAACGAGCGCAACCCUUGAUCUUAGUUGCCAGCAUUCAGUUGGGCACUCUAAGGUGACUGCCGGUGACAAACCGGAGGAAGGUGGGGAUGACGUCAAAUCAUCAUGCCCCUUAUGACCUGGGCUACACACGUGCUACAAUGGAUGGUACAAAGGGCUGCAAACCUGCGAAGGUAAGCGAAUCCCAUAAAGCCAUUCUCAGUUCGGAUUGCAGG
rnacentral:rRNA from 1 species